rnacentral:rRNA from 1 species
AGUGAACGCUGGCGGUAGGCCUAACACAUGCAAGUCGAACGGCAGCACAGUAAGAGCUUGCUCUUACGGGUGGCGAGUGGCGGACGGGUGAGGAAUACAUCGGAAUCUACUUUUUCGUGGGGGAUAACGUAGGGAAACUUACGCUAAUACCGCAUACGACCUACGGGUGAAAGCAGGGGAUCUUCGGACCUUGCGCGAUUGAAUGAGCCGAUGUCGGAUUAGCUAGUUGGCGGGGUAAAGGCCCCCCAAGGCGACGAUCCGUAGCUGGUCUGAGAGGAUGAUCAGCCACACUGGAACUGAGACACGGUCCAGACUCCUACGGGAGGCAGCAGUGGGGAAUAUUGGACAAUGGGCGCAAGCCUGAUCCAGCCAUACCGCGUGGGUGAAGAAGGCCUUCGGGUUGAAAAGCCCUUUUGUUGGGAAAGAAAAGCAGCAGGUUAAUACCCCGCUGUUCUGACGGUACCCAAAGAAUAAGCACCGGCUAACUUCGUG